UACAGAGGGGGCAAGCGUUAUUCGGAAUUAUUGGGCGUAAAGGGCGCGUAGGCGGCUUUGCAAGUGACGGGUGAAAGCCCUCGGCUUAACCGAGGAACUGCCUGUCAGACUGUAAGGCUUGAGACCGGGAGAGGUGAGUGGAAUUCCCAGUGUAGCGGUGAAAUGCGUAGAUAUUGGGAGGAACACCAGUGGCGAAGGCGGGUCUCUGGACAGUUCCUGACGCUGAGGCACGAAGGUCAGGGGAGCAAACGGG
rnacentral:rRNA from 1 species